rnacentral:misc_RNA from 1 species
UUGUAGGGUGAGCUCAUUUAUUUCAGGUGUUUCUUUUUUUCCUUUUUGUUUUUCCUACUUCAUCUAUAGUUAAUUUUAAUUCUAUGUUUUAACUAGAGUACGUUUCACCAGCUUUUCACACCAAAUGAAACAGGUCUUUGUGACAUGUAGUUUAUGAAAAAUUGGACAAUUUCUUUUAAUUUUGGUGAUCUGUUCUGUCUGGGCUUACUGAUUCUUUAAUGGAUCUGCCAAGAAAUAUAGUCUUGUGAGUUGUGACUGCCUGUUGUCGCUAGUGCUCUCCUAUGUAGCACGGAAACGGCUCCG